GGAUUGACAAAUAAAUAAUUUAUUCAUUCCUCGGUAACCAGAGGGCUAAGAAAAAUAAAUAACACAUAACAGAAUGAAAAGUUUUUUUCUGAAAAUUGUACCAUAUGAUUUUGACAAUAGAUAUCUAUUUAUACAUUAUUUAUUACACUUUACUGAGAAUUGGAUAUAAAUAUACAUAAACGAAGUUGAGAUGCUGUUGGUGUACUUGUGGUAAAAGCAAGGUGGUACUACUACAUUUUUUGG